GCACGCAGUAGCAUGGGGAGGAGUGGGAGAACAAAUGGAAAAAACAACAAAACAACAGUCGGAUGGGCCGAUGGCGCACGUGCCACCAGUGAGGGCUCCGCGUGACCUAGGUUCGCCACUGUUGUCCUAUGUUUUACUCAGGUUGGCACCCCUGGUACUAGACCAGUCUUUUAUCACUGUACUCAUUUACUUAAGCAUGAUUUCCAUGUUUACUCUUAGCUAUACCCUGCUUUUCUGUAAACUGCUUAAGGAGCUUUAAAGCGCAUUUAAAACUAUAAAAUAAAAACAAUGAAACAAAAUUUUAACAUUAGCAAAAUUUCAACAGCUGUUGAAAAUAAAUUCCUUAAGCAGCUGCUCUUUUAAGCAGCAGAAUUUUUUUUGAAGAAAAGUCUGGUUCUGGUUGCAUGCUGAAAAAUCAGUGAAGGAUCUCUUUGGGGGAGGUAUUUAACAAUCUAAGUGCAAUAGAUGAACAGUCCUGUCAUAAAUCCCCACCCCCUGUACUGAGACAGGACAGUUCUUAGGCCCUUGCCUGUUAAAGGAAGCAAGUUGGUAUGUGAUACUUAAAUAUUCUUAAAAAAUUAUUUGAAUUAUUGUUCCCCAGUUUUAUUCUACAGGGUAGAAUGGGUAAAUGUUGUUUGUUUUGUUUUAACCGCCCAUUAUUGACUUCUUUUUGUAUUUGCUGGUAGGAAAAAGUCAUCACCCAAAGCCCGUGCAAAAUCUAUCAGCUUGGUGCUGUUAUUUUUAACGUCCAUUGACAAAAGGUCACAUAAUCCUCCUUGAAGCUAAGAUGGUCAGAGCAGAUGUUCAAAACUUUAAAAAGGAAAAAGGUGGGUGGGUUGGGAGGCAACUAUCAGGACAAUUUUGGGCAGCAUGCUUUUCUAGAAUUAGCAAUGUGUCCUUUAGAAUCUUCCAUAACCUGGAAUAGCUGUGAGUGUUUUUCUUUGGAUGCCAAGUGACCGCCAGUGAUGGGUAAAUCAGCCACGCCUCUCACUUUGAUUUCUAGCAUUUUAUAGCAUAUUCUUACACGCCACCCUAAUCUCCGAGUGGUGCGAGUUUCCAGGGGUUUAGGCACUUACCAAGGGUUUAUAUUUCCUUUGGAAAUGAGGCACAGCAGAGACUGUGGUGUCUUUAUGAUGUAUGUGCAAUAGACAACAUUGCAUACAAAAAUGUAUUUAUUAGGUGAAACUCUCCAUGAAAAUCCUGAUGAAUUUUCAGGGAGGCUUCUAGACGUCUUUUAAAAAAGAAUACAAACAAAAAUCAUUAAUUACUCUGCAUUAAUUUAUUUGGUGCAUUUAAAUCCCACUUUUCUUCCCUCAUAGAUACUGUCCGGUUCCCAGGCAGUUUCUCAUCCAAGCCUUGACCAGACCCCAAACAUGGCUGCAUCAGGUCCUCUCAGACCAUGUCGUAGGGCCAUUAAUAUGAAUUUUACUUUGCAAUUAUGAUCAAUUAUUAUUUAUUUACUUACUUAUAUCCCAACUUUUCCCUGACAGGGACUCAAUGCCCCUUACACCUAAAAUGGAACCACCUAAAAACAUAGGGAAAGAAGUGCAAUUAUUUUUUUAGAAAACAAUUAAACAUUAUGUUUUACAGAUCUAUGCUUUAAUUACAGAUACUGAUAAAUCAAUAAUACAAAUCCUGUAACAAAAAUAUUAUAACCUAAGAGUUGCUUUGAGGAUCAGGCAAAGAUCCAUGUAGCCCAAGUGUCUUUGAGAACCUAAUAAGCAUUCCAUGAAGGUUGAGUGAUUAUGAGAACAAGACCUCACAGUGGGACAAGACCUCACUGUGGUUCCUUACAAAUAUUAAUUUUUGGGAAGGGUAAAUGGGUGAAGUCAUUCUCCAUCAAGGACUCACCAUCAUUGCUGUUCUCUCCUCUCCUUCCCCCUCCCCCUCGUACUCAUACUAAUCUUCAAGGUUGUUGCUUAAAUCUGAUUUUCCAUCUGGAUAAGGUGACUAUGAAACAUCAUGGCCAGUGAUCUGUGACUGUAACAUCCCUAAAAAGAGACACAUUUCCACACCCCAGCUUGAACCCCUUUUUAUUUUUAAGGAGGGGUUCUGCCUUUUUUAAAUUUCUCACAAGGCAAUAACUAACUAAAUAUAUUUUGCCUUCCUAGGACUAAGCGUAUGGGAAAAGGCUGCUCACAAAGUAAAGAAUAAUAUAUAUGUAUUAUCACAAAUUUAAAGUACAAUAAUUUACAAUAAAACAGCAGACCAACAUCAGAAAUAAAACUGCAUUAAAAAAGACUUUUCAGCGAACAGAUUAUAAAUACAUAAUUGCAAGCUCUAAGUGGAAAAUGUCAACAGGAACAAAAUGGUCUUAAGAACCAAUUUAAAAAUAGGCAAAUAGGAGGCUGGCUAGCUGAAUCUCUCCUGAGAGACUUUUCUGUAAUUCAGGCAUCACAACAGAGAAGGUUGUUGCUCUUUUCCAUACUAACUCCACUUCUCAAGGCUAGUCAGACAUUUCACAAGAUGGUGACCUUUCAAUUCCACAGACUAGAGUCACCUGGACUAGAAGUCACCUUUUUCUUCAACACUGGUGUGACAGACAUCAAUCAACCUCUUCUCAGUGCACUAUGCCAAUCAUUUGGGGUUCCUUUUUCAGUCAGCCUAAAGUCUUCCCGAAUCUUCUUUCUCAGUUCAGCUCAUCUGUUGGUGAUUUCCCAUGUGGGAAUAAACACCUCACCCAUUCCAGUUCUGCUUUGAAGUAUUUAUUGAAGAAUUAACACUAUAGCUUGUAUAACUACUGGCCUAAGGAAAAUAAAACAGAACUAUAUACAGUACAAGGACGCGGGUGGCGCUGUGGGUAAAACCUCAGUGCCUAGGACUUGCCGAUCGUAUGGUCGGCGGUUCGAAUCCCCGCGGCGGGGUGAGCUCCCGUCUUUCGGUCCCAGCUCCUGCCCACCUAGCAGUUCGAAAGCACCCCUAAGUGCAAGUAGAUAAAUAGGUACCGCUUUCUAGCGGGAAGGUAAACGGCGUUUCCGUGUGCUGCGCUGGUGCAGGCUCGCCAGAGCAGCUUCGUCACGCUGGCCACGUGACCCGGAAGUGUCUGUGGACAGCGCUGGCUCCCGGCCUCUUAAGUGAGAUGAGCGCACAACCCUAGAGGCGGACACGAUUGGCCCGCAUGGGCAGGGGUACCUUUACCUUUAUAUACAGUACAGAGAAUCAUUCUUCCUCUCUGCUCUUCAACCAUCCGGACAGAGUGACCAGCACACUCUUUCAGAGGUUUUCUCAUACAAAUGUCUGUCACUGGGGAGAAAAUUUGUUGCUAGGAUCAAACUUGCUAGCGGCAAAACUAUUCAAGGAUAAUUUCAAGUCUGUUUUUAGACUACACUAACACCUCUACCACACUUGAGGCCACAGGACUAUCUUGGAGGGCAUGGCAGAGACAGAUUUAGGGGAGUGCGACUGGUUCAGAGCUUGGCUUAGGACAGUCUGAAUGACACACGUUUAGCCCUCCACCAUUUCCUCUCCCCCUGCCGCCUGACUAACAUAGGACCAUUAAUUUCAAUGGGUCUAUUCAGAACAUGGCUAUAACCCUAAAUGUUAUUUCCAACCUUGCAUGCAAAUUAGAAAUAUUCUUGUUUUACGGGUGUUAGGAUGGAAACAGGUGGCAGGCAGCCUUUCACCUGCUAAAUAAAUCCCACAAGGUGGUCAUAAAUACCUGUACUUCUGUUGUGUCUGCCAACAGUUCACAAAAGCCACUAAGCUUGAGGGAGGGAGGGUUUGGCAAGUAAGAUUGUACUUAAUUGCACCCUGUGUGUAUACAACUACACAAAAACAUAUGUAGAAGGUGGUGGUUUAGAAGCAACUACAACAGUAUGUUCGUGCAGACAGGCGUUUGUGUUAAAGGAACAUUUAUUGCUCAAGUUAACAGUGCAGUUCUGUUGCACCCAACGUUAACAAAUGUUACAUUGAAUGCGGAGAAUGAAGGGUUGUGAGUUGACAGGAUGACCCUGCUGUUUUAUGCUUCCUUCCAUGUGCAAAGCUGCCCCAAUAAAUUUGGGUUUCCAAUAUUGAAUAGCCAAAGCAACUCAUGCCCCCAAGUGUUGUAACCAUUUAUCCCCUCCCCUAUGCAAAUAUGGAAAAGGCAGAAAGCUGAUGAGAGCAGCCUUUUGGAUUAUAAACUUCCACCAUCUGAGACUUCUGUGCUAAAUAGCAGGUCAAUGUUUGCAUAACCGAAAACAAGGGCCGAGGAAAUUUUAUUUCAGCAGGGAAAAUAUUCCAAUCCAUUCAUUUCCAAUCCAUUCAUUUUUGUCUGGUUUUAGGAACUAGUAGAAUACCAGGCAAGCUAGUGGUUGCUCCAAGCUCACACUGCAUGCCCCCCCUUUUUUUACAAAGCCAUCCUUAUGUUCCUAUACAAAUAAUUUUUGAACUUUCACCACUUUGGAACUAACCUAAGUUUUGCUGCCUGUUGGUUUUUUUUUACUGCUCUAUGGAAAAUCACAUGAAUCUGACCUUUGAAGAAGUGUAAGUAAACCAUUUUUAACUUAUCAAACAUGUGAUCUUUUUCUAUGCUGGGGGAAGUGGAGAACUUUGGAAGGUAUAUUUUAAAGGUCUAAUAGGCUAUAUUCCUAUGCUUUACUGUGCUUCAUAUUUUGUGAUUUUAAAUCUCUGCUGGCGUUCUAUUACCAAAGAGUACUUGCACCAAGCCUGGUUCUUGGCACCCAGGGAAUUCUCUUUCUCUUUAUGCAUUUGUUUUUAAAUUUCCCAGCCAAUAAUAGCAAAUAUGCUUCACUGUUCCCCUGAAGUGACAAAAUGGCUGAAGCAAGCUAUGAUUUGAGGCUGGCACUCAGGAAACAUAGGCAAACAUGGCAAGUGAUUUCAUCAUUCUCCAAUAGUGUGAAUGAUUAUUUUAGAAAUCUCCUUCCUCUAUACUUUUGUUGUUGUUGUUUUUUACUAUUUCACACUGUGGCUGAUAUUUCCGAGGGAAAAUUCUGUCUUGCCUUUUUCUCAAAACACGUGUGUGUGUUUAAUGUUCUCCUUUCUGCUUCAAUGACUGCACAAAGUGCUAUUAUCUGUUUUCUCCCUGAGCAUUAAAGCAAUUCUUUAAGUGAUAGACCUGCCCAGAAUGUUUCUCUGAUCAUUAUGAGACUGCCAAUCGCAAUUGUUUUUGUAGCAAUUUUAUGAUCGCCUAGCCAUGUGGACUAAAAAACUUGUUUUAUUUAAAAGGAACGCGCUUUUGUAUGGCGUAAUGAGACUGGGAUACAAAUACCUCUCAGUAGGACACAUUCUUGUGAAAUGAUUUAGUGUCCCAGCUGGGAUUUGGCUCCUAGAGAGAUUUCCAGAUUUGUUGCUUACUGACGUUGGUUCGUGUUUAGGGAAGAGAAAGCAAUGUUACCUUGUGAGAAAAGCCAGUUGAGGGUGAGGGGUGGAAUGGGGGGAUGCAGUGGCGAGAAAAAUAGUCUUGAUUUUCCCAACACUGGCUUGAUGUAUCACAAAUGACAUAUUAGGGAAUAAUAUUGCUUUCCUCUCUGCUGUUCAUUCGAUAACAAGGUUUCCCAAAUGUAGGUCUCCAGUUGUUUUUGGACUACAAUUCCCAUCAUCCCUGACCACUGAUCUCUCUAGUUAGGGAUGAUGGGAAUUGUAGUCCAAAAACAGCUGGAGAACCAAGUUUGGGAAACCCUGCUCUAUAAGAACUAAGGAGACAGUUUGCUGGAUCCACGAAAAGUAAGGGACUUCAAGUGGACUUCAUACAAUGACCACCCAAAAAGGGGAAAUGCAUCUCUCACACCCAAAGGAGGCCACAGAUUAACAACGGGGGAAAUGCAUGUGCUAAUUUAUAUGAAUUUUUUAUGUAACCACUAUUCACCAAUGGUAGCCAAACUCUGUCCCAUCUGGAAAAUGGACCUCCAACCCAUGGUUGCACCAGCCUAUCAAAUGAAUAAAAUGCAAGCCAUAAAUAAUUUAUAAACUAAACAUAAAGGUAAAGGUAAAGGGACCCCUGACCAUUAGGUCCAGUCGUGGCCAGCUCUGGGGUUGCGGCGCUCAUCUCACUUUAUUGGCUGAGGGAGCCGGCGUACAGCUUCCGGGUCAUGUGGCCAGCAUGACUAAGCCGCUUCUGGAGAACCAGAGCAGCUCACGGAAACGCCGUUUACCUUCCCGCUGGAGCAGUACCUAUUUAUCUACUUGCACUUUGACGUGCUUUCAAACUGCUGGUUGGCAGGAUCAGGGACCGAGCAAUGGAAGCUCACCGCGUCGUGGGGAUUCAAACCACCGACCUUCUGAUCGGCAAGUCCUAGGCUCUGUGGUUUAACGCACAGCGCCACCCGCGUCCCUAAACUAAACAUAUACUUACUUAUAUCUGUAAAUAUGCCAUUAUGGCUCACUGAAUGUAUACCAUGCAGGAUUGUAUCAUAUCUUCAGCAGUAGGGACAUGGGUAGCGCUCUGUCUAAACCACUGAGCCUCUUGGGCUUGCAGAUCGGAAGGUCAGUGGUUUGAAUCCCUAUGACGGGGUGAGCUCCCAUUGCUCUGCCCCAGCUCCUGCCAACCUAGCAGUUCAAAAGCACACCAGUGCAAGUAAAUAAAUAGGUACCACUGUGGCAGGAAGGUAAACGGCAUUUCCAUGCGCUCUGGCUUCCAUCAUGGUGUUCCGUUGUGCCAGAAGUGGUUUAGUCCUGCUGGCCACAUGACCCGGAAAGCUGUCUGUGGACAAAUGCCGGCUCCCUCAGCCUGAAAGCGAGAUGAGCACCGCAACCCCAUAGUCGCCUUUGACAAGACAUAACUGUCCAGGGGCCCUUUACCUUUACCUUUUUACUGAACCAAAGAAGAACAAAGCAAUUUGUAGAUCCAACAAUUGAAAUGACCUCAGAGUUCCAAGUGCAGGUCCCAAUCCGAGCAACACUUACAGUUCCUUAUAGGCACCUGAUGGUAGAGCAGGAACCUGGACAAAUCUGCAACUCUUGAAGCAGGCAAAACAUCCAGGCCUCUUCCAAACUCUCUGCCUUCUCCUCCAAGCUGGCUUCCGGAAUUCUCCUACAAGAAAAAGGUUAGUGAGCAUGCUCCACUGCUGUGGAGAAAAGGGGAAGGGGUCAGAUUAUGGGCCCUCUGUUGGCUUUUACAAUGUCUCUUCCCUGCUCCUAAUAAGGAUUACAGUAUGGGUUACCUAUAGAUGCAAAUUUAUAAAUAAUUGCUAUGCUUUACAGGCUUUUGUUUAAGUGGUGUAUAUAAUUUUUUUUUAAAAAAAGCUUGCAGUAGAUUUAUCAAUUGAAAUUAAACAGAAAAACAGAAAAUGUCCUUAAAAUUGCCUGUUGAAGUAGAAAGGUUCAAUAGAAGUUCAACAAGGAGUCAUCUUGUCUAAUCGCAGCGAGGAAGAAGUGCCACAGAAUUCGGUCUACAAUACUGAAUGCACAGCUUCUGGUGCACUGGCCCGGCCUAGCCCAGUUCAACACCCUGAGAUGAAAUGGUAAGGUGCCACCUUUCCCUGGCCGCUCCCUCCCCUCUCCCAAAUUUCUUCCCCAUCUCUAGUGUAAAUUAAUAGACAUUUAAAGCAAAAAAUCUUGAUUAUUAUUCCUCCCUACCCAUCUGUGCAAGUGAUAGCCAUUUGUUUGGUCCUGGAACACAUACCGGUACUUUCCUAUGACUAAUCAUUAUAUUAUAUGAUCUGUCUCACCUCAUGAGUUUGCUCGAAUAAGUUUACUCUUUCACUGGCUGAAACAGAUUCCUUGCAGUUCGCAAAAUAGAGUACAUAUGGGGCUGCAUGUGACUUUGCCGUGCGACUAUGUUAUAGUGAAUGCCAAAAGGGGAGAAACACGUGGAAACAAAGCAUGAUUUUCAACUUGCAGACCCUUGAGUUAAAUUUAAGUGAGCACAUAUGGGGGUAAGUGGCAGAACUGAAAUAUGACUAAGGGAGAGGGUGGUAUUUCAGAACUGGAAAUCAUGGAAAUUUUGAUCAGCAAGAUGGAAACACUGGGGUUUCAGCUACAUUCUUCUAGAAAGAACCCAAGAAAUCAAACAAAAACUUGGAUGUGCUUAGAAUAGCCAUGCACAUCACCCACAGAAAUAUACAUACAUUUUGUUUGGGUCACAACACUGAUGGAAAAAUGUUAGGCUUUCAAUUCCAGGCUCUGGAAGCACCCAUGGUUCAAAUGUGCAUUUCUUUUCCAGGGGUGAAAAUCCAUCCUGCAAGUUUCAGGUAGAUGCUGGUUGUUCAUGGUAUUGACUGGCAGGGCCCCUAAAAUGUCAUCAAGAAGCCUUCCUACCCCUCCUGUCCUAGACCUGCUUUGUACUUAGCAAAAAAACCAUAUAUAGAUGUACAGAUAUAGUAAGAGAGAGCAACAAAUGAAUGCAUAUGUCCAUUACUAUUCUUGCAACACUUUGAAAUGGGGGAAGGGCAAGACUGAGCUAGUAUUCACUUCACUGUUGCAACUGAAAUGACAGGUAUAUGUGUUCUGAAGAUGGAAAACAGGGACAAACUGUGAGCUCUCCUUUAAUAUUAGGUUUGUCUUAACCCUUAAAAAUUGGUUAAUUUUAGAUUUCUUCAUUUAUUGUUGCAGCAAAGAUUAUUAUUUUCUGUCCUAUUGCACCUUUAUUCUGCAUUAAUAUGCUUAGGGAUGGAAAAAGAAUUUGAUUUAGUACACAUUUAAAGGCAAAUCUUUUUCCGCUUUUUGAAACAAUAUGUGAACUGAAACACAGCUGUCCUCUGAAAUUUGCACAUCUGAAUUUCACAGUGCAGUUCUCCAACCAGUUUUUACACACAAAAAAUGCAUAUGUUAGGGAAAGCUGUACAUAAAUAGGAAAGUAAAAUACAAACAUGCAUUAUAUUAGGGUAAAUUACUUGCAGAAAUGUGUACAUUAGUCAAAACUGCAUAUAAAAAUGUGUGUGUUCAGAAAAACAUCAUGCUAAAAUCUGGUGAAUUUUCAUGAGGAUUUUUUUAACAAACAAAAAACUUGCAAAUUGUUGCAAAAUGUGAAGAACGUAAUUUAAAACUGGGAAAGAUAGAAACUGAGACAAGCAAAACUGAGACAGAUCCACCCUCAAUGUGCUGUUCACUGCCGUAAGGGCCUUUGAGUUAAAAAGCACCAUAUAGCAUACCUUAACAUAACAUUUUUAAAAAAAGAAAAAUCCUCCCUGCAAAAGACCAUUAAAUCAACGCUCUAAAAUUAUCUAACCAUAACACUGCUUAAAGCACCAGCAUCCUCAGUCCUUCCUCACAGGAAAGGUGCCAGGACCUGAUCAUUGUCCACAACCAUUUUUUGCCCUUCUUUAACAUGUAUGCUGUAAAAGGGGGCAGAGUUUGAAGUUCAUCCUCCUCCUUUCUUAAAUAAUUGGAUCCAUUCUGUGAGAGUUGAGCUUCUCGGUCAUUCCCUUGUUUGUUUGAAAUAAACAAACGAAUUAAUAAAAUAUUCUAUAUAAUUUUUCAGUUGCCCGCAAGACUCUGAAAAGCUACAUUUUCCCCCAGAAAGAAAUAAAAGACCAUUGUUAAAGAGAUUAUUUUGCGAUAGCCUUCAAAGCAUAUGAUGCAAUUCCAUCAACUUCAAUUGCUCUUAAGGGAGACCCAAAUUUUGAUGGUAUAAUUCACUUUCAAGAGGCCUGCUGAUAGGGCUCAUUAGUUUAAUUCCACACAUUGUGCUUAUUGAAUAUAUAAGUAAUUUGCUACUCAAUGAGCUGUGAACAUUUUCUGGGCACCUUCCAUCUCCUUUUUAUUUUCCAGCCUAGACAAUUAGAUCAGAAAAGAGCAGAACAUAUAAAAAAAAAUCUUAGAACAUGCAAGUAAGCAUGACUGGAUUGGCUUUUGGCCUUAUUUUUAUCCACCAUAAUGUUUCUUCAAGCUUAGACAUGUGUUUGCUCCACAGUUUGUCCUAUUUAUAUGCCGAAGUUUCAAAGUUCAACUAUUUUAGACUUCUGUGCAUGGAAAAUAAGUGUGGCUGUUUUUGUUGUUGUUAUUCUGCAUUGGAAAUAAGAUACCCAAUGAUUUAUUAAAUGUGAAAUAAAAUAGAGAGACAAUUUAUCAUCAACACUUGGACACAUCUGACUAAUCCUUUCCCCCUGUAAAUAAAAUUUGCAAACUAAACAUUCAAACCCAGCUGAAACUCUAUUGAUGUUCAAUGUGAAUAUUUUAUACUGAAGUUCUACAAUUUCCCUUUUUAAAAACAAAAAUUCAGAUCGUCAACAAAAAAUAACUAAGGGUAAAUAAUAAGUUUUGGCUACUCCUGUGCUGUUGACUUCCAGCAUUGGCAAAAGGUUCCAUCAACUAUAUUUAUCCUUGUAACGGUGAAGUCGUACUGGUACGAAGGUCUACUUUUCACCAGUCUUGAAAGUAGACCUUGCACCAGAGCAAUAAUAGCUACCAUGUAAUGAUAGAGCUUUUAUUGAGGGUGAAAGAGGAGAGCGCAAAAUAUGGUCUGAAGCUCAACAUCAAAAAAACGAAGAUCAUGGCAACUGGUCCCAUCACCUCCUGGCAAAUAGAAGGGGAAGAAAUGGAGGCAGUGAGAGAUUUUACUUUCUUGGGCUUCAUGAUCACUGCAGAUGGCGACAGCAGCCACAAAAUUAAGAGACGCCUGCUUCUUGGGAGAAAAGCAAUGAAAAACCUAGACAGCAUCUUAAAAAGUAAAGACAUCAGCUUGCCAACAAAGGUCCGUAUAGUAAAAGCUAUGGUUUUCCCAGUAGUGAUGUAUGGAAGUGAGAGCUGGACAAUAAAGAAGGCUGAUCGCCGAAGAAUUGAUGCUUUUGAAUUAUGGUACUGGAGGAGACUCUUGAGAGUCCCAUGGACUGCAAGAAGAUCAAACCUCUCCAUUCUUAAGGAAAUCAGCCCUGAGUGCUCACUGGAAUGACAGAUCGUGAAGCUGAGGCUCCAGUACUUUGGCUACCUCAUGAGAAGAGAAGACUCCCUGGAAAAGACUCUGAUGUUGGGAAAGAUGGAGGGCACAAGGAGAAGGGGACGACAGAGGAUGAGAUGAUUGGAUAGUGUCUUCGAAGCUACCAGCAUGAGUUUGACCAAACUGCGGGAGGCAGUGGAAGACAGGAGUGCCUGGCGUGCUCUGGUCCAUGGGGUCACGAAGAGUCGGACACGACUAAACGACUAAACAACAACGAUAGAGCUUAUAAAUUAGAGUUUAUAAAGCUACCCCCUCAGUAUUAAUGAAAUGGACUUGCCCUUUAGUCUCAUGGCUUAGUCUAGUUUCAAAGGUGAAGUUGUUGCUCAAGUUUGUAUAAGAAGUUGCUGAGCAUAAAGCUAUUCCAAGCCGUUCCUCAUUACUUUAGCCUGUCUGUGGACCCAGAAUCAACCAGUACUGGUCCACUGUUACUGGAAUAAAUAUAAUGCAGAAAGGCAUUUUCCUCUUGGGCGAAUGGUGCCUUUCUUGUGGCUUAGGGCACAAGAGCAAAAGACACAAACCAGGACCAAUAACAAUAAUUUUAUUAUUUAUACCCCACCCAUCUGGCUCGCUUUCCACAGCCUCUCUGGGUGGCUUCCAGCAGAAUAUCAAAACAAAAUAAAUAUAGAAACACAAUCCGCCAAUCCGCCAGUUCUUGCACUGUGCCAUUAAUUUCAAAGAGGCUUGAGCAUUUCAAUGGACUGUGCCCUGAACUUUUAGCCCUAGCAGAGAAUACGGAAGUAGGGGAAUCACAAGUGAUAAUCUUGUAUUGGGAUGCCAUGGGAAUUCCUCACAACACUUUCUCUGGAUUGAGAAGUGGGCUUCCGUCUGUGUUCCCUUAGUAGCCUAUAAUGCUGAUCAGAUUUAUAAAAAGCUAUUUUGUGAUGGUAGGUCCGCUUUCUGUGGUUAAAUCCAUGGCUAUGCCAUUUAACAACUGUUUUAAAAGCCUGCAGGAACAUAAGCAGGUAACUCCAGUAUCAAAUGAUUCCAAAAAUAGCCUCUAGCACAAGUUCCUAAAGCUUUUGCCUGAUGUGCAUAGAAAGAUAAUAAAACCACUGCUAAUAUAUUUUCCACUUACAUUUCAGUCAGGAAUAGCAAUCCUACUUGGGGCUUUUUCUGGUUUAAUGCAAAUAUCUCCAUAGAUUGUCUCCAAAAUUAGUCUUACUAACAUGGAAACUGUGAAACAUUUUCAACCCCUAGAUUUGAGAAAUUCUCCCUUCUUCAAAUUUUACUAAUUGAUUUAUUCACCCAAAUUUUGACUGCUGCAUUUUCCUUUCUAUCUAAAGUUUCUGGCAUCUCUGUUAGUAUCUGGAAGAUUUAUACUAACUGACUUUAUAAGUGGAUAUACAGGUAUCACACUGACUCAAAAUGUAUCUUAAAAUCAGAAGAAAACCAAAAUAAUGAGGAAAGCAUUACUCUUAAGAUUUCAUUUGUAGAUGCUUUCAGUAACGUUAGCACUGGUUGGAUAGAAAAAUAAUACUAAUAAAUAUGAGAGAGGGUGCUUAAUGGGAGCAUCCAUUGAGAUAAAGGAUUCCCUGGUGAUCUACUGAGAAUCAACCAGAGAUCCAGUGCUUUGUUUCUGGGGGGACGCAGAAAAUAAGGAGUGACUCUGAUUAACAGGGGCCAUUGGCGCGUGUGUCAUAGCCUGAAUAAAAAGGAAACUGCAUAUCUUUGAACUUACAUCACUUACGAUUGCCAUAUUUUUUCUGUGUUUCUCCUACCAAGUAGAAGAUAGGUCUUCUUACUACAGCCUUUGAGUACCCAGUUCUGUCCUGCAUUUCCUGUUCAAUAUCUCUUAGGAUGAUAAAGUUGAAAACAUUGAGAUGUAAACCCGGUUCCAUGACAAACUGUGGGUGAACUGCACAAUGUAGUACUGCAGAUUGGGGGAGCCAAGAAGAAAUGCCUGUCCAGAACUAAUUGGUAUUUUUUUCAGGGGGGGGGGUUGUAUAUGUGCUAAACUUGUAAUUCCAUCUAUUUAUUGGCUUGCAGUAGGGAUAAAUUUGUGAAUUCACAAAAGGGACAUCGCGAUCAUGCGCCGCACUUUGCUGGCUUUGAAAAGCUUGUGAGUAACACUGAGCAAUUAAGAUGCCCUUUUUAUAGCUCUUUCAAGUGUAAUCAAGUGAAUAAUUGAAUAAAACCGAAUGAAGGCCACAGCAGGCCACCCACAAGUAUGCUGGCUUUUCAUAGCUGCUACAAACUGAUGAGAAACUCAGGGUGGGGGAGGGCCAUCUAUUUCACAAUGCUCCUCAUGCUGUAUGGAUUAUGCAGUGAAUUUGAGGCUUGGCUUUACGUUUCUGGAUUCUUAACCACAAAGGUGGCAGCAUCGUUGUUACUUAAUUUGCUGAUGCUCAGUAGUUUCUUAGGACUGUCUGCUCUAAAUUACAUUUGGUGAUGUACUGCUCGUUUUUAGUGGCAGAAGCCUCCCAGGGUACGCCUGCCUCUUCACUGGCGGCGCUGAUUUGGGGCAAGAUCAUGGGAAGAUCUUGCCCCAAACUGGCAACAAUGGCGAUACUGCUUCCCUGCCAGUAGCGGAUGGGGCAGGGCAUGCAGUGGUGCCAGAGAAGGCAACGGGAGCGGGAGCAGAUAGAUGGUGGUAGGAGCAGUGAUGGCAGCAGGGCAAAGCAGUACUUCCCAUUUUGCCUCAAACUGUGAAACAGGACGCGUUCCCCCUGCCACAGCAGUGGGCCUUUGGCUUGCCAAAAUUUGCUGGACCGGUGUGUUCCCACAAGGCAAAAGCACUCUGCGCUUCAUGGACUGGCAAGCCAAUCCAGGGAGUUGUUAUUAUUACUAUUGAUUAUUUUAUUAUUAUUUUUUAUUAUUGCUUAUUAAUAGUAUUAUGAGAUGUAUGUGGCCAUGUCAAUAAAUAUUCCCUAAGCAGCUUACAGCAAAACAAUAUCAAAAAUAUAAUACAUAGCAAUUAAAACAACAACGAAAAGGACAAACAGUCUGCAGCCCUGAUUCCCCCACAGGUGCUUUCUAAGUAUUAAAGAUUAAUGCAACACACCUUCAAUAUAACAUGCAUUUUGCAUCUUGAACCUUUGGACUAUGCAUAUGAACGGUGUUGUUAACUUUUGAAAACAUCCUUAAACAGCAAAAUGUUAUGGCAAAACGUCCUCUCUAGGUUAUUAAUGUUGCUAAUAUAAAAAGCAUAAGAGAGCCAUUUCAAAAUUGUAUGUCAAUCCUGUCCAAUGAGAUUUUUAAAAUUUGAUUAUCACUUGGAGAUAAUUGGAACAUAAGUAUUAGGAUUGCAGCUGAAUAGAGUCUAAUGUAACUUCAAUAAAGUCUUUCAGCUUCAAAUUAACGUCCUUUCGAGGAGGUAAUGGCUUUCUAGGAGGCAAUUUAUCUCUCCAAUUAGUUUUAAUAAGCACAAUGACAAAGGUAAGAUGAACUAGUUUACUGGGCUACCUGCUUUUGAUGGGAGUCCACUGAAAGAUUGCUUGGCCUCUAUAAUUCUCUGAGAUCAACCCAUAAACAGUGCUAUAGACAAUUUGAUUUUAAUGAUGUUUAGCAGUGAUUUGGGGAGGCCUCUGUAAUCCAAGAAUCUUUGGUUACAGCUGAAACUUGUGAUUACAAGUAAACAUUAUUUUACUGCCUUUUCAUUAGAAACCUUGGGUUGUAUCCAGUGGUUGUGCAAGUGGAAGGCAGCUUACACAACUGAGACCUCUUUCCCUGCUUUCCUCUGAAACCCACUCGACCAUCCCUUGAAGAAAACCUUUCCAAAAGGUCACGUGGGGCUCCUGAAUUUUGUGUGUGUGUGUGUGUGUGUGUGUGUGUGUGUGUGUGUGUGUGUGUAACAGGGCUGCAGUGUAAUCACUUGGAAUCAGGUGGAGGAAUAUUGCAUUAGUAGAGCUCUGCUCAUGCAACCAUGCAAUGCAGCCCUUUCCCAUUUGAGUUGCCUAGUAAAAUAGAGUAUGUCUUGUGGCUGGAACAUCAUAAAUUUAAAAUACUUUUAUUUGGGUCAGCAUAAACAAAGGACUAACAUAAACACUUUUUUGUUACAAGCUUAAAUCUUAAUAACAUUUUGCACAAAAUCAGCACAGUACCAUCAAGAAUCAGCAGGAAAACUACAUACAGUGGUACCUCGGGUUAAGUACUUAAUUCGUUCCGGAGGUCCGUUCUUAACCUGAAACUGUUCUUAACCUGAAGCACCACUUUAGCUAAUGGGGCCUCCUGCUGCCACCGCGCCACUGGAGCACGAUUUCUGUUCUCAUCCUGAAGCAAAGUUCUUAACCUGAAGCACUAUUUCUGGGUUAGCGGAGUCUGUAACCUGAAGCGUAUGUAACCUGAAGCAUAUGUAACUCGAGGUACCACUGUAUGUAAGAGGUGAUCCUAUCCAGGUCAGAUUGCAGGUGCACCACCAGUGACCAUGUGAAUAAAUGCUGUUGCAGCCAUGCGCAUAGCUCCAUAUUAACAGUAUAACUCAUUUAAAACAGUGCAAGCAUCAAAUUACACACACACACUUGGCCAAAUUAGUGGAGAAUGCACAACCCACACUACUCCAUCGGCAGUGUCCAGGGUCUUCAAAACAGGAUUAAUUUUCAACACACAAACUAUACAUAGGAAUGGUUCUUAGUGCCUCUUCAUCACCUGUGGAAGAGACAGAUUUGGGCUUGAUCCUGCCAGAGUUAAAGAACCUAUACAGUAGUACGUCAGGUUACAUACGCUUCAGGUUACAUACGCUUCAGUUUACAGACUCUGCUAACCCAGAAAUAGUGCUUCAGGUUAAGAACUUUGCUUCAGGUUGAGAACAGAAAUCGUGCUCCGGCGGCGCGGCAACAGCAGGAGGCCCCAUUAGCUAAAGUGGUGCUUCAGGUUAAGAACAGUUUCAGGUUAAGUACAGACCUCCGGAACGAAUUAAGUACUUAACCCGAGGUACUACUGUAUAUUCCAUUUAUUUCCAUGAGAGAGUAAAGCUCAUUUCCUCCAAUUUCCUUCUUUAGGCAAGUAAAUGACAUUGAAUAAAUUGCUUAGGCCACAACUUAAAAAGUUAGGCUGGUUAAUUUUAAAUAAGGCUAUAGAUUGUUUCAACAUAAUUUUGGGGAAGCUGCAUUUUUAGUAGUUUUCAGCUUCCCUUCCAGCCACAACCAUGAAGCUUCUAGACUCCGUAAUGUGGCCACAGUUUGAGUGCUUUGCAUAACUGGGCAGGCUUUGAUUUCAGAUUAAUGCUUUUAUCUAAAAGUCCUCCCUAAUGAGUUACAGUAUACCCAUAAUGAAUAAAACCAAACACAGGUACAUAAAUGCUUUUCUUUCCCUCUCCCCACCUCCUGCAUUUCUUUUACAGAGCUGGCUGGGGCAUAAAUGUCAUAUUGAGAUACUCGCUGUGUUAAAAAUUAGUUUCACUAAUAGUUUCUUGCUGUGACAUGUACAGCUGGAGCAAAAACACAAUUGAUUUUUCUCUGAACUUGUAAUCGCUGAGCUAAUUUAAAGCUGCAUUUGCACAAAGUAGCCAUGAAAGAUGGGUAUGUAAAUUGGGCCCAGAUUUUUAUUUAUUUAUUGUAAAUUCUCAUUUACAUAAAAUCAUAGAAUUGUAGAGUUGGAAGGGACCCAAGGGUCAUCUAGUCCAACCCCCUGCAAGACAACAAUUCUGCCCACAGUCAUCCCUGAGGUGGGCAUCAAGUCCCUAUAACUGACAACACUAAACUGAUUUCAUUUAUUUUAAUCUAUAUAAUACAGUAUAUGCAAAGUAGGAUUGCCCUUAGGAUUUAAAAUAUGUACACAUCUGAUCUUUUCCAUUAUGUAUUUAAUGGGCCUGCAUGAGACACAAAUGACUUUUGUCUGAAUUCAUUUAGAUGCCAUUGGCUUUCGAAUUUUGCAUGCUCGGCUGACCUUCUAUACUUUUUCCAUGCAAUCUGUAUAUUGAAAACAAUCAGGACAUAUCACAGAGAGCACUCCCAUGUAUACAGCUUGUACACACUUGAUUGAAACAUAGAGGUUAGGAGUGAUAACACUGGGCAACAAUUUUUUACUUUUUGAAUGUUGUCUAGAUUUCUACAACUGAUUUAGGGUAUUUUUGCACUGCUGAAUCAGGAAAUGGCAUCCGUUUCUCUCCAUCAGGUCAGGUUUACUGUAAACUGGAUGGUGGGCAUUGAUAAAGGUAAGUACACAUAAAUUUGCAUGUUGCUUCACCAUUUUUCAAACUUCAGGGCUUGAACUUCCGUUUCUUGGAACUCCUGGAAUGCUCAGCGGCAGGGAGGUCUCUCUUUAGAGUCCAACAGUAGUCAGCCAUCAUGACUGCGUCCCAGCGACCCUCAUACCUGGUCUCCAUCUCUUUCAUGUCCUGAUGGAAUCUCUCCCCCUGCUCGUCACUCAUUGAACUCAGGUUCUCAGGAAACCGGUCCAUAUGUGAAAAUAUGUAGUGAAUCUUGACGCUCAUGUUGCAGCCCAGGUUUCUGAAAGCAGUCAGCAUGUUGUUGACAAGUUCUGUGUAGUUCCUGGCCUUAUUGUUGCCAAGAAAGUUCUUCACUACCAGAACAAAUGCCUUCCAUGCUUCCAGUUCCACUUCGUUCAUUGACUUUCCGAAUUCUGGAUCUCUGAGCUGACGGAUCCGAGGACCGUCAAAGAUGCCAGCUUUCAACUUCUCCAUGGUCAAUCCUGGAAGAGCCUGGCACAAGUAAGUGAAGCAGUCACCAUCCUUGUCCAGAGCCUUGGUGAACUGCUUGAUUAAGCCGAGCUUGAUGUGCAGCGGUGGGAAGAGUAUUCUGUCUCUGUCCACCAGAGGGUCGUUGAUGACGUUCCUUUCUUUGCAAAGCACCAAUUCCUCCCGCACAGGCCAGUCUUUCUUUGUGUAAUGCUGAGCACGGUCCCUAUUAUCCCACAUGCACAGAAAACAUGGGUACUUGGUGAAGCCAGACUGUUGUCCCAACAAAAAGUUCACCAUCUUCAGGUCAACACAAAUAAACCACUUAAGCUGAUCAUAACCAAUUUUCUCCAGCACAUACUUCACCGCUUCAUAGUUCUCCUUCAGUGUACUCGAGUGAGCCAGGGGUAUAGAGGCAAACUGGUUGCCGUUGUGUAGCAGAACACAUUUCAGUGAUCAGAUGCUGCUGUCAAUGAACAGUCUCCAAUCUUUGGGUUCAUACUGUGGCACUCCAAGCUUGAGCAGAAGCUGCGCAAUAUCUGCACAGUACACCAAGACCUUCUCUUCCGAGAAAAAACGGAGGUACUCUUGAUGCCUGUUGCGGAAGAAGCUGAUGCAAGCACUGUCAGAGAGGAGGUUUUUUUCCUUCAAUCUGGAUGCCAACAGUUCGGCAGAGUCCUUUGACAAGCUGAGGUCGUGAACUAGAUCAUUCAACUCCUUUUGGGAAAAUGGAUGUGGAGCAUCAUCUUCAAGAACCACUUCUCCUUCUUCAACACUGGAGGCAUCUUCGUCACUAAUGUCAGGAAGUUCUCCGAAGAUAGGCUCUGGAAUUUCAUCCCAAUGAGCUACAGGACGACGUGCUGAUUGAAGAUCAGGAUACUUCGUGGGGCGGCUGCCCCAUUAACUUAGUUUUGAUCCCCCAACUUUAUGCUUUGCCGCACCAAUUUAUGGAAGAUUUCGAGGUUUUAUGACUUCAAACUGAUCCCUUUUCGACAUAAUCACCUAGAACUAUCAGACCUGAAUACUUAUUGUCAUUAAAAUAAUCAUUUCCAAUCAAAACAAUUAUUCAACAUGGCAUUUUACCCCCACCAACUUCUUCUAAAAUGCUCCACACAAGCAUAUAUGUGAACAAAAACAUAAAAAAACGACAUGUGGCCAUAGCUGAAAAACUUGACCUGAUUGAGCAAAACCAAAGUGAUUUUUGGAUUCAGCGCAUCAGAUUUGUCCUAAAUCAACUGAAAAAACGCAGACAACAGAUUUGUUGUUGACCAGUGUAAUUAGUUGAAGCUUGCCUGGAAAUGAUUAGAAAAAUAUUUCGUGGUCAGGAAUAAGGAGGGCUACAGCAAAAUGUUGCAGUAUGGAGAGCUCCUUCCAGGGUUCUAACUGGGCAGCCAUGUCUUUUUCCAGGACACUCCAUUCCAUUCUCCCUCUUUUCCACCCGCUGACCAGUCACAUUUCAUGCCCACUGCAUAUGCUAAUACAUCUCUAUUUUGUGUUGAUGGUGCUACUGUACUUGUGUUUCACAAGGAUCAGCAGUCAGAAAAGUAGAGAACUUCUGAGAAAGCAAACCAGGCUGGAUCUAGACACAUCAAAAAAAAGUUUCAGGGGAACAGGUUGUAAGCCUCAUAAUGGGAAAUCAUGUUGCUGAAAGAUGGAACUCCACAGCGCCAUCGCAGUGUUAUAACGCAUUUAAAACACUUUUUAUUUACUAAUGUAGAUGAGUCCCCAUUGAAGGUUUCUUCAUGUUUCUUUUUUAAUAUUUCUGUCAGAGAUAGGUUGGGUUUUUUUAAGAUGUUCUGGUGUAUGACUAGAAUCUAGCUUUAAGGGUGGGAAGUUACUUGAAAAUGAAAAAUCUGAGGAGUUUUUUCCCCUUAAAUGAUACCCUUUAGGUCUUCCCCUGGCAUCUCUGAAGCCUCUGAAACCCCCCUCCCCUCCCCACCCUAACUCACACACCACACUUCAUUUAACUAUGGGUUAAAGUGAAGUACAAACAAGGCCACUGAAUGCAAGCACCUUUUUUUGCUUAGUUUUCCUGUUCUGUCCAGUAACUUAAUUCUUUGCAUUUUUACAUCUUUUUAAACAGAAAUCUGCUGUUUAGUACUUUUAAAAAAAGCAAAAAAACACAUUGUUCCCAGCAUUGUGAGCAGCUUUUCCAGGCAGGGGAAACCAGAAGAGGUUGUGUAUAUGUGUGUGUUUUUUAUGACUGAGUAAAACGGAAUUCCCUGUGGGCUGGUCUGCUUUUCUUCCAUUGUUCCCCUUAGCAUUUUCUUGAAAUGUUUCACUCACUAAUUUACUCUCCAGCACAUUUAUAGCCUUUUAUAUUUAGGAUUGUGUGCACUGUAUGUAUGAGAGACCUGCUUUUUCUGCUUCCUGUCUACAGUUUCCAUGUAUUGACUCUGGUAUAUUCUCGUGUGGGUUGUUUGUGAUGCAUGCAGCUUUAAAAUGGCUGGAGAGCGAGUGUGGGGUUUCUCCCUACUGCUAGACAAGAAUGAACUGGCUGCAAGAUUUCAAUUACCGUAUAGGUGCUUUCCCCCAUAAUAAAUUUUGAAAAUGUACCCUGGAGAGGCCAGGUUCACUUAAUGUUCCAUUUACACCCUGGUUUUGGCCAGGAGGAUCACCAUUCCAAGGAUUAGCAGUCGCUAAUUUAAAAACAAACAAACUAGACACAUUAAUUCCCACCACACAAUUCAGAUAACGUCUAGUUUGGCCUAAGAGUCCCAGCGUAAAUGAAUAUAAUAGCUGAGAGGCUUUUUCAGUUACCAUGCAGUGGGGCUUCCAUUCAAAAUGCAGCACUUUAGCAUCUGUGGGAUUGUCCCUGUUCCAGUUCCUGAGACUGCACACACACGAUUAGAUGUUGCUCUCAUAGGCUCAUCAUCUGUGCAAGUAAGAUGGGGAAUGAAAAGGACCGCUCUGAAUUGCAAGUUUAUGCUGGUCACUUCUGUGCAGGAAGCUGUGCCAGACACCUCCCGUUCCCUAAGACUUUCCACAAGCUCCGAGUAUGCGGCUGCUUCAGCAGUCCCACCAGUCAGCUUAAAUAGACAUGUGGAGAAACACAAACCACAGUGUUGCAAAAUGUAACAAUCAACAGAAUAGUUGCUCAGUGGAUCAGUGCUCACUGGAUAGUGUAGCUGCUGCUGAAUCCACUAGCAAGAUUCCCACUACAGUGGACGCUCGGGUUGCGAACGUGAUCUGUGCGGGAUGCACGUUCGCAACCCACAGCAUUUGCAACCUGCGCAUGCGCGGGUUGCGAUUUGGCGCUUCUGCUCAUGCACAAAGCACAAUUUAGCACUUCUGCACAUGUGCGACCGCCGAAACCCAGAAGUAACCCGUUCCGAUACUUCCGGGUUUUGGCAGUCCAUAACCCGAAAAAACACAACCUAAAGUGGCUGUAACCUGAGGUAUGACUGUAGUAUGAAAAUUUUUCACUGAGAAUUAUUUGCCGAUGAAGACUUUAUUCCGAAACAGUGAACUAUUCCGGACACACUGUCCUCUUGAGACUUCCUUUUAACAUUUCUGAUAGACGUCUUCCUUUGAGAGACAGCUUGGCGUUCCUCGCCAUUCAUUGACUUGUUUGACUCCUCAUUUGACUCUUAUAUAUACAACAACUUACAGUCACUUGUAUAUUUUGUGAGAUGUACUGUAUGAUAUAUACAUUAUUUCGAAGUGGCAUAUUAGUAUAUUUUGAAUGACAUUGUAAUUAAUUAUAUAUCCACUACCAGUUAUUAGCCAGCGUGUUGCGUUUGCAUUUGUGUUGAUAGCUUAAAUAGACCUGGCAUCAGCUGCACAGACAUGGACGGACAUGGUGGGACUCUCCCCUUCUUUGCUUCCACCGUUCCCCUUUCUGAACUGCCAAGCCAGAGAAAUUUAAACAGUGGUUUGUGGCUUGGCAAACGAAGCCUCUGAAGUGAAAAUGGAAAGAAAACCCCCAGGUGUGUGUGUGUGUUCUUGUCUCUUGAGAGAAGUGCUAUUGAUAGGUCUGGAUUGCAGACAUAGCCACUGCUUCAAAGCUGCAUAGCAUAGAUACCCCAAGUCACACAUAGGACUCCCGUAUGGGAGAGCUUCCUCAUUCCCUUAAAUGGAAGAGGACAUUCUGUGUCUGGAAGGGGAUGAAUCUCCACUGAACUGAAUGAGAAAGCUUUUGAAUAGACUGCUGAAGGUACAUGUAACACUGCUGAAUGGCUUGAUAUAGCCUAGUUAGGACCAAGUCACUCAGCAUAGAGCUAGAAGGCUAGAAAACCUGUUCUGCUGGAGAGUUGAAGAAUAUUUAUGGGCUCUUAUCACCUUAUAUGAAGUAAACAAAUUAUACAUAGGUAAAGGUAAAGGAUAAAAGGACCCCUGACCAUUAGUUCCAGUCGUGACCGACUCUGGGAUUGUGGCGCUCAUCUCGCUUUACUGGCCGAGGGAGCCGCUAUACAGCUUCUGGGUCAUGUGGCCAUCAUGACUAAGCCGCUUCUGGAGAACCAGAGCAGCGCACGGAAGUGCCGUUUACCUUCCCGUCGAAGCGGUACCUAUUUCUCUACUUGCACUUUGACGUGCUUUCAAACUGCUAGGUUGGCAGGAGCAAGGACUGAGCAAUGGGAGCUCACCCCGUCACAGGGAUUCGAACCGCCGACCUUCUGAUCGGCAAGUCCUAGGCUCUGUGGUUUAACCCACAGCGCCACCCGCAUCCCUUAAAACUAAGUUUUAAAACUUAAAACUAAAUUAUGCAUAGGCAUGGUUAAUUACCAAGGGGGAUGGGAAAUCAGUCCACAUCUUUUUCUCACAGAUGUGUUUGGAGGCCCACAAAGUAGCACCCUUCAAGCUGCAAAUGAUAAUUCUGCUGUUUGAUGAGGUCUUGUUACUUUGGGACUAAAGCUAUUUGCAAAGAAGCAACUCUGAGGUCUCUAGCACUUUUGUGGAUUAGAGGACUGGGCCAACCACAAAGUUUGUAAGCCAGAAAGGUCUAACCUUGCCCUUUGGAUUUGAGUUUCACAUUGUCUAUGUUGAACAAAUUACAUACACAUUUAGCUCUAUAUGAGCAAUUACUAUAUUGCUUUAUAUAAUUAUGGUUCCGACUAAGGGAAUUUGCAAGUUUUAGUCCAGCUAAGCCCCAUAGGAACCGUACAGGAAGGGCCAGCACAAGGAACCACUCAGUCAGGAUCAGAGCCUUUUAUCAGUUGAAGGUUAUUGUACAAGACCUGAUAGCUGCUGCUUUUUGGCAUGUAUGCAUGGAGAGAAACAGCUGAUAGAAUAAUGCCUCUAUGCAUAUCCAUGGUGCGACUGCACUUGGAAUGCAGUGUGCAGAAAGGGGCAGCCAAAAUGAUCAAAGUUUUUGGGCAACUCCCCUAUGAGGAAAAGUUACAACAUUGGGAGUGUUUUAGUUUGCUUGAGGCAGCUUACCAAAACAUAGCUAAUCAAAACUAAACUGAAAAAAUCAGUAUAAAAUGGCUGAAAUUAAAACCACAUAAUUAAUUUCACUUCCAAAUCCUAACUAGAACAAAAAGACCUUACUUUCUGGAAAUGAAAAAACCAACAACCCCUCAGCAAGGGAGAACAUUGUUCUACUUCUUCCAGAAGGGCAAUCCAAAGCUAAAAUAGCCCCCCUUCUCUGCUCUCCAGAGAAGGAAGGAAUCAAAGUGGUCAGGGGUCCUACUUUACCAAGGACAGGCCUAUUUGAGGCGCCCUCUGUUUGGGGACUGUCGAUUCCGAAUCUGGAUUAAAGAGAAGGAACCAUAAAAAAGGGAAAGCAGCCAUCUCCUCUCUACAGUUAGCAGCAGCAGACUGAGCAGGUACACAAGUCAACUGGGCUUUUUUCCUUUAAAGUGAGGUAUAUGAAUAUAUAGUUGUUUUAAAUUUGCGUUUAUACAUAUGCAUUCUAUACAAAUAUUAUGCAAAUUGGUGCUCCCUUUUGCCCUUUUUUAAAGCAAUGCAUACCUGGUCACCCGAGAAGGAAUGGCGAAUAAGCCUUGCUAGAAUAACUUAAUUGCCAGGGAAGUACCUUGAAUUGACACAGCCACUGACAUAGGCUGUGUACGCAUUACUGUCUACUCCAGCUCCAGUAUGCCCCCACUGUCGGUUUUUUAAGCCAAUUACAGUGGUGCCCCGCAAGACGAAUGCCUCGCAAGACGGAAAACUCGCUAGACGAAAGAGUUUUCCGUUUUGGAGGUGCUUCGCAAAACGAAGCUCCUAUGGGCUUGCUUCGCAAGACGAAAAUGUCUUGCGAGUUCCUGCGGUUUUUUCCCCUCCCCCCCCCUUUUCCUAAGCCGUUAAGCCGCUUAUCUGCUUAUCCGAUAAGCUGAUAAGCCGCUAAAAGCCGCUAAAAGCCGCUAAUAGCGCUAAUCCGCUAAUCCGUCAAUGGGCUUGCUUCGCAAGACGAAAAAACCGCUAGACGAAGAGACUCACAGAACGGAUUCUUUUCGUCUUGCGAGGCACCACUGUACACACGACAUUAGCUACAAUCCAUGUAUGUAUCCUGUUGUUUCUUGAGAAAUACUGGUGUUUGGUGCAAUUUCCCUCAAAUGGGCUUCCAUCCAAUUUGAAAAUGGAAGCUGUGGCUCUUCUGAGGUGUGUACAUUUGAGACAGCUGUUGUGCAGGCACAGAUGCCAGCAGAUGUGCAGAAGAUACCUUUUACUGAACAGGAGUUAUGGGGAGUUGCAGGCGUGGUGAGAAAAAUCAGGUACACUGGUACCUCUGGUUGCGAACAGGAUCCGUUCCGGAGGCAACCUGCGCAUGCGUGUGACAGCAUUUUGUGUGUCUGUGCAUGUGCGAGCAGCGAAACCCGGAAGCAACCCUUUCCGGUACUUCCGGGUCACUGUGGGACUCAACCUGAAAAAAAACGUAACAUGAAGCAAACGUAACAUGAGGUAUGACUGUAAUGUGCAUCAUGUGAUGACUUCCCAAACCUUCUCUGGUGUGUAUAGCAACAUAAAAAUGUGGCUUGAAACACAGCAGGGGAAACGACUUCACUGGGUUUUAAGCUACUAAUGUGUAAAUGGCCAUGUGUACAUUGGCCUCUUGACCUUGCUUGUUGGUCUUAUUUUGGUGAGGUUAGUCUUCUAUUAUCACAGGGAGGGGUUAAUUAUGCUUCAUUUCUUUUUCUUUUUUUAAGCAAACUGUUUUCUGUCACUGCUAGGACCAAUUACCUAAUGACAUAAUACACUCAGCAAUUUUUCUUAAACUUACAUACAUGUAGAACUGUAUCACUAAAUCUGGCCCGGUCUUCGUUAAACGUUUUGGAGAGAAAAAGGAGACUGCACGUAUUGUGUUCCAGACAUUACAGCAAUUGUUUAGUAUAUAUUUGGUGUAGACAAAGUUUUUUAGCCUUGAUUAUAUUCCUAACAGUAGUGCCAACAUUCAACCACUUUUGAACUAUGAGACUGUGGGCAUGCAUGGAUUUAAACAAGUAGUUUCCUAUCUUCAGGUUCUCCCACUUCAUAUUUAGAUAUAAUUGCCCAUGGUUUUAAGUGCCAGACAUACACUGAAAUGUGAACUUAAAACAUAUGCUUAUUUUGCACAUUACACAGUAGGGUGGUGGUUUUUUUGGUUUUUUUUUUAGAACAUUUGAAUCAAGGAACUCCUUUGAAACUCUCUCCACAGGAUUUCUAAUUUAGAUUCUAUUGUAUUCGUAUAACAGCUUUUUAGUGAGUAUAAUGGGAACCUGAGUAUCCAAAUUUAGUUGUCCAAAUCUUUUCCAAAUUCAUUGAACCCCCCUUUAUAGUUUUCAGUGCCUGUAAAAUUCCAUGUAAAUAGCACUUUAUCCAGAUGUCCAACUCUGGGCUCUGCACUCCGAAUUACAAAUGAUGCAAAUCAAGCAUUUUUGUAUAAUUAGCUAUUAAUAAUUAUACAAAAAUGGGGCAGGUAACUAGGCAGGACACUGAAGUCACACUUUUGCCCCAGGUUUAUCAAUGAGCAAAUGCUUUUAAGGCACCAACAAAUAACCAUGCAGAAGCUUUAUAUACAUCUGCCUGCUAACAUGAGGUAUUGUUUUUAAUGCAUAUCAUUAUAUCAAAUUUAGCUGCUGGGUAAUGCUGUCUUAUGGGAAUCAGAUGUGGGGAGAAUGCUUUUGUCAGCACCCCAAUAAAACUGUUAUAACUGAUACAGAUAAACAACCGAGUUACUGAACCUUUCUCCAGAACGCUCACAAGUAUAUAACCGUACAAAUCUUCAAAAUCACAACCCAGGCAGCUGAAAUAUGAAAAUGCAACUCUACCAAGAUCCCUCAGGGUACUUUUUGUCUUAUCACACUCCACUAAAGGUCAGCUUGGUAUUAUUCAUCUGCCACAAGUGGCUAGACUUCACAACUCACACUCUUUGAGAUGUCCUGGAAAAUCAAACUAUGAAAACAUUCCAAGAGCUUCCCUGGGAUUAUACAGUCUAUUGAAAUUUGGUUUUGGACACAGCAUAGGGCUUAGCAUAUGAAUAAUCAAGUGUGCCCCAUAAAUGUCAAAGCUCCAGUCUGGGGGCCGUCUACCUAAGCUACAGUGUUUCACAUAAAAAUCUGUCCCAUGCAGCUUCUUAUUCCAUAAAUAUGUAAAUAAUUGUUAGCCAGGUCCUAAAAGUCGUCUCCCAGGGUUAUUAGUGCUCCAAGAGUCACAGCCAACCUCAGUCUAGGGCUUUAGAUGCUCUUUGCUCACAGAGGCUGGAGACUAGCUUUAGGCAGCCUGGUGCUCAACAGAUGGUUUGGAUUAUGACUCCCAUCAGCCUCAGUCAGCACUGCAAGGCUGGAAAAAGGCUUGACUAGAUCUACCCAUUCCAGAGGAGGGCUAGUAGUGGUGCAUGCAUGCCUCUCUAUUGAAACCAGUGGUGCAGAUAGAUAAUUCUGAGCUUAGUGGCCCCCCUCUGGAUGGUAAUGUGCAGUGACACCCGGUAACCACUGGAGCUUGUGGGACAGUGGACAAAGCAGUUGGGACAGGUAGAGCCACUAGAUAAAGAAAUAAGUUCACUGUCUUUCCUAGUACGGGCUCCUGUGUAGCUCUGUAUAGCAUUUUUUAUAUAAUGAAUGCAGAUUUAUGCACAAAAUAAUAUCUCGCCUACUCCCAAUCACUGCUCUCUGGCUCAUUAUAUAAAAAAGUAAAACCAAUAUAUAGUUUACUAUUUGCAUUCAUUCCAAUCAUAUUUCUAAUCACAAACUCAAGGAUUCGGUGUCGUUAGUGAAUUUCAGCCUCAUGUUCUGAUUCAAAACUAAUUUUGAUUAUGGCAUCCCCCAUUCAUCUUGUUCUUAAAAGGCCUUGCAAGACCUACUUGAAAUACCUGAGCUAACAACCAUCUCAUGUUUAGAGAACAAAACCUUACACUGAAAACAAGCAGUUCAGGUUUUGUAAGGCUUAUUGAAACUAGGUUACAGAAAAGCUGUCUGGAUAAGUUUACUUUGAUCUAUCAAGCUCAGAUUUUUCAACUACCAGUAAAAUUGUUUUAGCAACCUAGCCUGAAGAGAAACUGACCUUCAGAUCCAGAAAUUGACAAAAGACAAAGGCAACAAUGGAAGAUCAGAUCUGAAAGUGGGAAAGUGAUCAGUUUUACAUUUAGGAGCUUCCUUUCUAAUUUGCUUGUUUUGUUAGUUUUAUUUGAAAAUAUAUACACCACUUUCCUACAAAAUAUAAUACUCCAAGUAGUUUUAUAGCAAAAAAUGGAUUCACUUAGUAGGUCAGUAGAGGUUGUAAGGUGCUUUGGGUUGUCCUGAGCAAGAUAAAGUAACUAAUAAAUGUAAUUAUUAAUACUUCGUUUCUGCUUUCACACUGAAUAUUGAGGGAACCAGCAUGGAAAACAAACAGUUCUCCCCUCCCCUAUGCCAGUGCACCACUCCAAAUCCCCACGCCUCUCUGACUGCUAUUAGAAAAAUAAAAACAAAACUUGGCAGCUCCAAUCAUGGAACUGCCAAGCUAGAAAUCUAGGUUGGCUCUCAUGAUCAGAAUUGCUGGCAUCAAUGCUUAAGGCCCAAAACAGUUCAGGGCCACAUUGGUUGCACCUGCAUGACUCUGCCCACCAUCUUAGGUUCUGUUUGUGUGCACACAGGGUGACAUCAGUUAGGCUGGCAACUCCCUGAGAUACAGCCUUCUCUGUGGUGAUCCUACACCUGUGGAAUUCUCUUGUAGUUGACAUUCACUUGGCUCCUUCAGUUCUGGCAUUCUAGAAGGCCAUAAAAAUGUAUCUUACUAUUUACAAUAAGAGAAUUUUGGCAAUCUAGCUCAGUAGCUCCCAAGGGUCUAUUUGUCCGCAUCCACCCAGUUCUUCAUACUCUGCCUGUGCUUCUGUUGUUUUCAUUUCUGUCUAUAGAUUGCUUUGUGAGGGAUUGGUCUUGAAAAGUGACUAAUAAGUAACUGGAAUAAGUAAAUAAAUAAAUCCACAAGCCCUACAUAAAGGAGAGUGAAACCUGCCUGAGUGUGGCAGGUUUGGGGCAAAUGAUAACAUUUGUUCUCUUCGGUGAUCACUGCCAGUAAUUGGAAGCUGAACACAACGAGGGGUAUGUGAGAUAACGAUCAUGUUGAUACAUAGUACUUUUGGGUGCCGUGUCAGUAUUAAUAAUAACAUGUAUAAUUGCAUGCCCCAGAUAAUAAUGGGCAAAUUAAUUUUAGUGCCGUGUGCUAUUUAAGUUAAAGUAAUAUGUUUGAAAGCAUUGCCUCUAAAUUUCAAGUUCAUAAUAUUAUUGUUCUAGCUAAAGGCCAUGACAAACUUGUAUUAGGCAACAGUAUUAAUAAAUUAAGGGCAUAGGAAAAGCCCUCCAGGUCAGGACAAUGGCCCCAAAGGCCCACCCAUUCUCCCACCAAAAAACAGUGGUACCUCGGGUUAAGUACUUAAUUUGUUCUGGAGGUCCAUUCUUAAGCUGAAUCUGUUCUUAACCUGAAGCACCACUUUAGCUAAUGGGGCCUCCCGCUGCCACUGCGCCGCCAGAACACGAUUUCUGUUCUCAUCCUGAAGCAAAGUUCCUAACCCAAGGUACUAUUUCUGGGUUAGCUGAGUCUGUAACCUGAAGUGUCUGUAACCCUAGGUAAUACUGUACUUUCCCCAGUGCCACACAAGAUAUUGCCCUGAAAAAAGUGCUUUAUCCGAGUGAGAGUGAGGAGUGGGUCAUGUGACUUCCCCGGGUGCGCGUCCCGGAAGAUGCGCAUCCCAGUUUUGAGUCUGAAAUAGUUGGAUGGUAUAUAUACUGCCUUGGUAUUUUCUAGAAAGGCAGUGCAAUACUAUUUAAACUAGCAAACAAAUAACUGAUCUACUUUGAAGACCAAAUCUAGUCCUCUUGGAAAGCUGCACUAACAGCACACUUUCUGUUUUAUUGCACAUUUCCCAGAGCACAGUCUUUUCUUUGUCCCAUCUCAGUGGCCUGACAGUAGCAUAUCCCAAGCACUUCAAGCCCUGCUCUGCUGUGCUUCAGACACUCUGUGAUAUGCAUUUCUACUUGGCAUCUUUUGUAGCUGAAAGCAACACGCUAACUCUCAUGCUUUUUGGAAGGCUUAAUGUGCAUGCUGUUAUAAAAGGAAAGUCAGAAAUGGGUCCAACCGCUAGUCAUGGGUCCACAGACACUGCAUUUUUGGACAGAUGACAAUACAUUUGUGGUUAGGAGGUACUGUUUCUGCUAAUUUAUGGCUUUAAAAAGGCUAGACGUGUGAAUGUAAGCUCCAGAAACAGCGAAAGUAUCACAUAUACUGUUAUUUGUCUUAAAUUAUCCUCCUGAAAUAGAUGUAGUGAGAGACUUUUGUGGUAUCCUGCUUUGUAUGCAUGAAUCAGAAAAGAGCACAAAUAUCUUGGGGGAUAGACUGUAGUGGGAGACAUGAAUGAAUCAAUGGAUGGUCAUGGUCACCACAGGUGGUCUCUCCUUGUGGUGGUUUGGAUUCACAGGGGGAGGAAUGACUCACUGGCUGGUGGUGGGAGGAAUGUGAGAGUGCAGGAAGACGUUGUGGGCAUGCCCAUACCACAAGUGGCAUAGUGUUUGGGUCUGUUUGCUGUUGGCUUAGGUAACCACAGUAAAUUACUAUGAUGAUUUUUUUAAAAACCUAUAUCUGGCAGCUGCAGAUAUUUAAUUUAGAGAAUACUGUUCAGGGUAAAAUGGAAAUGCAGAAAGCAUAUUUUAUUCUCUUAGACAUUAAACCUCACAAUAAGAAAAUGUCUAUUACAGUGGUACCUCAGGUUACAUACGCUUCAGGUUACAGACUCCGCUAACCCAGAAAUAGUACCUCGGGUUAAGAACUUUGCUUCAGGAUGAGAACAGAAAUCGUGCUCUGGUGGCGCAGCAGCAGCUGGAGGCCCCAUUAGCUAAAGUGGUGCUUCAGGUUAAGAACAGUUUCAGGUUGAAAACGGACCUCCGGAACGAAUUAAGUACUUAACCUGAGGUACCACUGUAUCAAUAUUUUAAUCCUCUAUAGCACUGCCCACUUACGUAGCAUAAAAGACCACAGGACUCUGCAGAGCAUACAUACAUACAUGCAAAUGAGACAUAGACACGCUCACUCAAUAUUUUAAUGCAUGGAUCCUUCAUCCACCAGGUGGUAAUUCCGAUUUCAACAGGGAAUCUGAAUAGAUAAAAAUCAUGGCUAUUUGAAUAUAUGGAUUUUCAGCUCAGUCAGAUCACAGCUAAUCUAUUCUUACUUAAAACAUUUAUGCUGAUUGUGGUGCGGUUUCAGGUACAAUGUAAAUGCACAAAAUGCUUAUUUUGCUCUGACAAUAUGGCAGCAUUUCAAAAGGAAGUCAAAUCCAGCUGGCCCGGAGCAAAUAGUUUCAUUGGAUCUGGCAGUGAUCACUGAUGGAUGGAAGUAUUAGAUGUUGGCCAAGAAAUUGUAAUUCUUUUAAAACUUAAAUAACAAACAAGAUAAUCCCUAAAGGCAACCUAUCAUGGCAGCAGUGAAGGGGGAAUGUGACAGCCACUCCAAGCUGUCACCAUCUUUUCCUUUUCCAGCGUUCAGCUUUUGAGCAGUUUAGCUGUAACCUAAUUGGUUUGCUGAAACUCUUUAUGUGCUCAUGUCGUUCUGAGGCUUCCACUUUCAUGCAAUGUAUCCAAUUGGGAAAACCACAAGACCUUGGUCAUCAUUAGCUUCUGUGGCAACAAAAAUACCAAUAGUACAAAGUUAUUGUUAAUCCCUCCACUGUACAAAACAGCACUAGCUCUGUAACCAUAUUUGUGCAUAUUUCACUCUCCUGUAAUUAAAAUAUCAUGGAAGAAUGUCAGGAUCAAAUCUAUACCGCCAAGACAUCAGAUGCUGUAAGGUUUAGCUGGCAAUGCCUUAUAACCUUAUUUUCUAAUUCUUGUUGGUUGCAAUUAAUAAUCCUGUCACUGUAGUUGAUGAUAUUAAACAAAUAAUAUAUCAGUCCAAGAUAACCACAAGAUAUGUUUUUGCCCACUGAUGUCUAGUGUCCAAAUCUUAUUUGCUCUGAAAGUUAUGAACCAUUGCACAUAAUGGAAGGAAACAAUGAUACUGAUAAUGUACUUUGUGAUUGCUUUUAGAGUGAUAUCCCUUUAAUAUUUGUAUGCUCUGAGGCCAGUUCAGCUGAUACUUCAGACAUCUGAACAGACCCAGUAGGUGCACCUGGUGUGCUGGCCUGCCUCUGCCAUCCACAAAGGCAUGGCCCAGUCACUGGAGCCAAAAUCGUGUAAUUAAUUCCCAGAGCUUUUUCUGUUGAACUGACCAAGUGGUUUUGUCCUACAUGCAUAAGACCAAACAUAAGUGAAACCCUGUUUGGUCAGGCCUAAGGCCCACCUAGUCCAGCAUUCUGUUCUCACAGCAGCAAACCAGAUGCUUAUGGGAGGCCCACAAAGAGGAACUGGGGCAACAACACUAUCCCUAUCUGCAAUUCCCAGCAUCUGGUAUUGAGAAAUAUAGUACCUCCAACAGUGGCGGUAGAAUUAUGUGUGUAGAUCAAUUUGGCCCAUUUAAACAGGCUGUGGAAAGAGGAGGUUAGGCCAGCAUGGCAGCUCCAAAUAUAGGGCUGUACUGGACCUUAGAGUAUUGUUAAAAACAAACAAACCAAUAAACCACGGCUUCUAGCAAGCCAAAUGCUCUGUCAAGGUCUCUAUCACAUAAAGCAAACAUAGUGGUACCUCGGGUUAAGAACUUAAUUCGUUCUGGAGGUCCGUUCUUAACCUGAAACUGUUCUUAACCUGAGGUACCACUUUAGCUAAUGGGGCCUCCCGCUGCCUCCGCGCCACCAGAGCACGAUUUCUGUUCUCAUCCUGAAGCAAAGUUCUUAAUCCGAAGUACUAUUUCUGGGUUAGCGGAGUCUGCAACCUGAAGCGUCUGUAACCCAAGGUACCACUGUAAGCUUCUACAUUGCUUGCUAAUCAAAUAACUGGCAACAUUCUAUUGUUGCAACAUAUAAUAGCAUUUAUUUAGAAACAACUGAUUUCUUCUUUGAAAGAUACAGUUGUUAUCUUUCAUACAAUAAACUCUGCUGCAUAGGAUGUGACCUCAUUCUGAAAAUGUUCAGAACAGCAGAGGAAUAAUCCCAAACAUGCUUAUGUGCUGCUUUCAAAUGUUGAAGGAUAGUUAAAUUCCUUAUUGUCACUGGAAUUAUGCUAUAAACUAAUGCAGUAGAAGGUUGAACAGACAUACAGUUGCAUCUCAUUACCAUACAAGCUUACUAUGGACAAAAAUGUAUAAUAAUUAGCCUAGAUAACAAUGACAACAUGCAAUUAAUCACAGUAUGGACAUAUGCCAGAACUGAGAAGACAGACUUUUACGCUGUCCUUAGCUCUGGAAUCAUCAUGGUCACAUAUUUAGCCUAUGGGAAGUUGGACAGAGGAAAACCCAGUGCAAUAAUGACUCAUUCGUGUCAAGAAGGGUUUUGAACCAUGUCCCAGGGCCAGAAACUUAUUUGAUAUGCACAUAUACAAGCUGUUGAUGAAAGCUAAGGUUUAAAAUGCACAUAACUAUUUAUCUGGACUGAUUUUAAGCCUGGAGGGCUUUAAAUAUGCAUCUUAAAGUAUUUGCAAGGGCAGCAUAACAUCAUAGUUCUAGAAACUCUGAUAUUAUAUUCUAUAGAUCUAUAAUACCAUUACUAUAAAUGGUAUUAUAUAAACUCUGGUUCUAUCCUCUCAAGGGUAUAUCUUCAAUGCAACAAAACUUGGUUUUGAGCUGUUAGAAUCAUAGAAUUGCUGUGCUAUAAUGGGGAUGGGGAACCUGCAGUUCUCCAGAUGUUGGACUACAACUCUCAGCGAUCCUGACCAUUGGCUAUAUGCUAACUGGGGCUGAUGUGAGUUGGAGUGCAACAACAUCUGGAGGAUCACAGGUUCUCCUCCCCUGUGCACCUCCUGUUUAAGUCCCACCUUAAUUGUCAUUACUUCCCUCUGGGGGGGUCCCUAGAAAUGAAGAGACCAGUAGAAUGUAAAGAAGCUAUUUGUACAGAGGUUGUGGGAUCACAUCUAUCUGCAACUGCUAAUUCCACUGCUGUUUGUUUAACACAGCAUAUGUUCUGGAAAAGUCUGUGUGUAUAGUGUAUACAGUUAAAGCCAAUUUAGGCCAGGUAUUUUCUAGUAAAUGUAUCAAAAUAAUUACUUAUUUCAUAAUGCUUUCCCACUCAACAGACAUGCAAAAGAGGAAGUACUGUGCUGGACAAUCAAGAGGCAAGCUUUUCCACCACCACCACACCUGCCCCUGCUUCUAAGAAGGAACUGCUCCUGUUCUGACAUCCUUUGCCCCUUUACCAGUUGUUGUUUUUAAUGUUUAUAUAUAUCUAUUUUAAAAUGUGUGUUUUAUUUUUGUUGUUGCUGUUGCUUGACUUACCUUUUGCAUUAUCCUUUGUGAGUUGCCUUGGGGUCUAUUUUGGCUGAAG